GACGAACGCUGGCGGCGUGCCUAAUACAUGCAAGUAGAACGCUGAAGGAGGAGCUUGCUUCUCUGGAUGAGUUGCGAACGGGUGAGUAACGCGUAGGUAACCUGCCUGGUAGCGGGGGAUAACUAUUGGAAACGAUAGCUAAUACCGCAUAAGAGUAGAUGUCGCAUGACAUUUGCUUAAAAGGUGCAAUUGCAUCACUACCAGAUGGACCUGCGUUGUAUUAGCUAGUUGGUGAGGUAACGGCUCACCAAGGCAACGAUACAUAGCCGACCUGAGAGGGUGAACGGCCACACUGGGACUGAGACACGGCCCAGACUCCUACGGGAGGCAGCAGUAGGGAAUCUUCGGCAAUGGACGGAAGUCUGACCGAGCAACGCCGCGUGAGUGAAGAAGGUUUUCGGAUCGUAAAGCUCUGUUGUAAGAGAAGAACGAGUGUGAGAGUGGAAAGUUCACACUGUGACGGUAUCUUACCAGAAAGGGACGGCUAACUACGUG
rnacentral:rRNA from 1 species